CCCUUAGAUGUUCUGGGCCGCACGCGCGCUACACUGACGAAGUCAGCGAGCAUGUCCUACGCCGACAGGUGCGGGGAAUCUUGUCAAACUUCGUCGUGAUGGGGAUUGAUUUUUGAAAUUCUUGAUCAUAAACGAGGAAUUCCUAGUAAGCGCAAGUCAGCAGCUUGCGUUGAUUACGUCCCUGCCCUUUGUAUACACCGCCCGUCGCUACUACCGAUUGAAUGGUUUAGUGAGAUCUUCGGAUUGGCGCCACUGCAGCUCAGCAAUGGGCUUGGUGGAUGCCGAAAAGUUGAUCAAACUUGAUCAUUUAGAGGAAGUAAAAGUCGUAACA
rnacentral:rRNA from 1 species